GAGGUUGUGGCUCAGCGUAGAGCACUCGCCUAGCACAUGCGAGGCCCUGGGUUCAAUCCUCAGCACCACA
rnacentral:tRNA from 1 species